UACGUAGGGCGCGAGCGUUGUCCGGAAUUAUUGGGCGUAAAGAGCUCGUAGGCGGCUUGUCGCGUCGGUUGUGAAAGCCCGGGGCUUAACCCCGGGUCUGCAGUCGAUACGGGCAGGCUAGAGUUCGGUAGGGGAGAUCGGAAUUCCUGGUGUAGCGGUGAAAUGCGCAGAUAUCAGGAGGAACACCGGUGGCGAAGGCGGAUCUCUGGGCCGAUACUGACGCUGAGGAGCGAAAGCGUGGGGGAGCGAACAGG
rnacentral:rRNA from 1 species